UUUUCUUUUUAAAUGUGCUGUGUAAAGUUAGUCUACUCUGAAGCCAUCUUGGUAAACUUCCCCAACAGUGUGAAGUUAGAAUUCCUUCAGGGUGGUGCCAAGUUCCAUUUGGAAUUUAUUUAUAAUUGCUUGGGUGGAGAAGCCAUUGUCUUCAAAAAACCUUGGUGUAGUUAAACUGCCAGUUACUGUUGUGACUUUAAUGAGUUUUACCAUUAAAAGGGUCAUCCAAGCAAAGUCACAGUUUGGUUACAAUAAAUGGUUGUUGGCACACCCUAUGCAAUAUCAAAAUUGAAUAAUGGUAUCAGAAAAAAUAACAGAUGGGAAUGAAGCUUGUGUAUCAUCCAUUAUCAUGUGUAAAUCAAUAAACGAUUUAAUUCUCUUGAAUGGAUUGACAACUGUAUGGAUUUGGGACUGGCAGAGAUUUGGACUUUUCCCUACCCACUACCCCUGGUAAAUGUUGAUUGUUUGUUAUCACAGUGCAAGUUCAGAGCUCUGCCAGAGUAGAGACCAACUGCUGGUUUAUGCCACCCAUAAGUCCACAGAUUAGAGUGUUGGGGCAUCUUAAAAGUGGUUAUAUAUAGUAAGGACUCUUAAUUGCUAUAAGAGCAGGCUAUAGUGAAGGAAAACUGCAGUUUAACAGGGUCAUGGGUGGGUGUGCCUCAGGGUUUUCUAGAAAUAAUUGAGUUAAUUAAAAAUUCAAAUUAGAAAUAUAAUUGACUAUUUCUGUAACAGCAGUUUUGUAUUAACAGCAGUUUUCCUUCACACUGUUAUCCUGAAGUGUUUUCUAUUUGUAUAGAAAAUGAAUUCAAAAUAGUUAUUAUCCAAUAAUUGUUAUUUGUGCAUAGAUGCUUUUGAGCUUCCCAUUUGGUGCCCUCUUAAGUGCCAUUGUACCUGGUAGCAUAGAUGAUUUGUUUGCCAUAGGACUUGUAUAUUCCAUCUCAUGGUGUAUUGCUUGGAAGUUUUGGUGGGGGGAAGGGAGGGGGAGUGGCAGGGUGGGGGUGGGGAGUGUGGAUGGUAGUUCCAUGAUACUGGCUGAGUUUGCAAUAGCAGGUGGAACCUUAACUAUUGAGGGAGUUUGCAGAGACCUCAGGAAUCGGGACAAUGCCUUUAAAGAUCCAGGAGAUGUUCAGCUACUAGGAACUGCUAGCAAGCAUAGCGCGAAUGGCUUCGAGCUCAGAAACUCUGCAGCUGAGAGUAGACACUUGUGGUAUGUGGAGUACAGAUAAGCCAGGGGCAGGCCACGGCAGCACCUCCAUGAAAGCUAGGAGGGAGUGAAGUUUCAGUGACCAUCGCAAGAAAGGAGGCAGACGAGAGUAAGGCACACACCUGACUCUUAGGACUAGCAGGCAGAACCAGAAGGAAAGGUUUUAUUGCUAUGCUAGUAGGUAAGAACAGAUUUUACUUACAUCCAUAUAGUUAUCAAGUCCAAUUCUCUGUUGGAUUUUUUUUCUUAAUAUAUUGAGCCAAAACUAGUCCAGUUAAGCUGCACUUGGUUUUUCUGGAGAUAAAUUGUUUUAAUUAAUGCCCAUAUUAUUCCUACUUGAAGGAAGUUAACACAUUUCUAUUGUGAAGAUACAUUUUGCCCUUUAAUUUUACGUAACCUUCCUUUGACCCAUUUUCUUAAAGCAAUGGCUCAAAGUAAUAUAUUAGACACCUUUCCCCAAAAUGGUGGGAGGAUGGGUGGAUCAUUAACGGGAGGAGGGUGGGAAUAGCUUAAAAGAUGGGAAUUAACUUCACAAAAGACUAGUUCUAAAGGUUGUUUACUUUUCUAGGGAGGAAUCUGCUACAAGGCUUAACAGCUGUUGUAAAAUUUAAAACAAAAACUUCAAGUUCUUGGCUAAAAGGAACAUCCUUAUGAGAGCAGCCUUUAUUCUGGGCCACUGUACUUCAUUCUCACUGCCAUGCAGUUGGGUUUUAACAUGCUGCUAAAAUCAUUCAGUUUUGUGAAUGGCUUAGUUUGGUUUUUUAAAAUAAACUAUAGUUAAUUAA